CCUACGGGAGGCAGCAGUGGGGAAUAUUGGGCAAUGGAGGCAACUCUGACCCAGCAACGCCGCGUGAAUGAUGAAGGUCUUCGGAUUGUAAAGUUCUUUUCUAAGGGAAGAAGAAAGUGACGGUACCUUAGGAAUAAGCUUCGGCUAACUACGUGCCAGCAGCUGCGGGAAUACGUUGGGGGCAAGCGUUAUCCGGAAUGACUGGGCGGAAAGGGUGCGUAUGUGGUUUGACAAGUUAGUAGCGCAACUCCGGAGCUCAAAUUCGGAACUACUACUAAAACUGUUGGACUUGAGUGCAAGAGGGGCAAUCGGAAUUCCUAGUGUAGCGGUGGAAUGCGUAGAUAUUAGGAGGAACACCAGUGGCGAAGGCGGAUUGCUGGACUGUAACUGACACUGAGGCACGAAAGCGUGGGGAGCAAACAGGAUUAGAUACCCGAGUAGUC
rnacentral:rRNA from 1 species